CAGCAGCCGCGGUAAAACGAAGGGGGCUAGCGUUGUUCGGAUUUACUGGGCGUAAAGCGCACGUAGGCGGACUUUUAAGUCAGGGGUGAAAUCCCGGGGCUCAACCCCGGAACUGCCUUUGAUACUGGAAGUCUUGAGUAUGGUAGAGGUGAGUGGAAUUCCGAGUGUAGAGGUGAAAUUCGUAGAUAUUCGGAGGAACACCGGUGGCGAAGGCGGCUCACUGGACCAUUACUGACGCUGUGGUGCGAAAGCGUGGGGAGCAAACAGGAUUAGAUACCCCGGUAGUCCCUGUCUCUUAUAU
rnacentral:rRNA from 1 species